UUGAUUAUAAUUUAAAGUCUAACCUGCCCAAUGAUUAUUUGAAUGGCUGCGGUAAUUUGACCGUACUAAGGUAGCAUAAUAAUUAGUUUUUUAAUUGAAAGCUGGUAUGAAUGGUUGGACGAGAAAAUAGCUGUCUCAGUUUAAUUUAAUUAGAAUUUUAUCUUUAAGUAAAAAAGCUUAAAUAAUUUUAAAAGACGAGAAGACCCUAUAGAGUUUUAUAUUUUAUAGUUAUUAUGAAUUUUAAGAAUUUUAUAUUUAUUUGAUUAUAAAGUAUUUUGUUGGGGUGACAAAAAAAUUGAAUUAACUUUUUUUAUAUUAUUUCACUGAUUUGUGAAUAAGUGAUCCAUAGUUUAUGAUUAAAAGAUUAAAUUACCUUAGGGAUAACAGCGUAAUUUUUUUUGAGAGUUCUUAUCGAAAAAAAAGAUUGCGACCUCGAUG
rnacentral:rRNA from 1 species